rnacentral:rRNA from 1 species
UACGGGAGGGGCAAGCGUUAUCCGGCAUGACUAGGCGUAAAGAGUUCGUAGAUUGUAAAAUAAGUUAAUUGUUAAAAAGUUGAAGCCUAACUUCAAAAAAAGCUUUUUAAUACUGUUUUACUUGAGUUUUAUACAGAAGAGUAGAAUUUUACAUUGGAGGGGUGAAAAUCUAAAAAUAAUGUAAAGGAAUACCAAUAGCGAAGGCAACUCUUUAGUAAAAACUGACAUUGAGGAACGAAAGUAAUGGGUAGCAAACAGG